UGGCUGGUGAUGCUCGCGAAUUAUACAACUUACUACAACCUGAUCUUAUUUGAAAGGUUCUAUACAGUACCUACUCCGUGUGAACUGAAAUUACGACUGAAGCUG
rnacentral:snoRNA from 16 species